rnacentral:lncRNA from 15 species
ACUUCUGUCUACAUCUGUCUACAUCUGUUCUACCUCUGUCUACCUCUGGUCUACAUCUGUUCUACCUCUAGUCUACAUCUGUUCUACCUCUAUCUACAUCUGUCUACCUCUGGUCUACCUCUGUCUACCUCUGGUCUACCUCUGGUCUACCUCUGGUCUACAUCUUUCUACCUCUGGUCUACGUCUGCCCCACUGCUAACCUCUGUGUUCACUCUACGUCGGGGUGGUUUACAAUGUGGAUGUUAUUUUGGUGUUUAGGACCACAACCUGCAGGAAAACCUCUCAGCUCAUCCUAAAUCCAGGAAGCAGGUCCGGUCAGCUCCACCUCCUGGUUCACUGCAGGUGACAAGGCCAGGCGUGGACCUCCUUGAUGACCCGAUUGUGGGUGUCAUCAAUUCCCUGAACAGGUUCUGUACGAGUCAGGAUGCUGCAGCAGACGCAGCAGCCAGCGAGGAGCGAGGAAGAACAGCAGCUGGUCAGAGUCCGGUUCACCGUCUGCAACAGAGAUUUACUGAGUCUGUCAGUACACUGAGUGUGAGGAGGGGCUGCAGGUCCAUCAGAACUGACAGAAGGUUCCAGAUUUUUGGACCCAAACAGGAACCAGAUGAGAGCUCACACUCGUUCAGCUCCAUGGUGAACUCUGUGCUGUGGCGAGCCAAUGACGUCCUCCUGCUGGUUGCCGAGGACUUUUACCGGAGCGAACGGGCCGGACUCAGCAGGUUCCUCCUGGUUCCUGACAGUUUGGACCAAUGGGCUGAGAGCAUGCAGCAGAGGCUGCUGGGAUACCAGGAACAGGCCAGGAAGUUUCUGAGCAUGAGCAGAGAGGGUAUUUAUCUGUAUCUAAUGCACUGUAUCUUUAUUGUUUAUUGAUCAGUAUACACUGUAUCUUUAGUGAUUGUUGAUCAGUAUACACUACUGCUGUCAAACGAUUAAAAUGUUUAAUCGCGAUUAAUCGCAUUAAUGUCAUAAUUAACUCGCAAUUAAUCGCAAUUAAUCGCACAUUUUUAUCUAUUCUAAAUGUCCCUUGAUUUCUUUUUGUCCCAUUAUUUUAAUGCUCUUAUCAACAUGGAAAAGUGGAUCGGCUUGCUUUGUGCAAAUGUUUUUAUUGAAAACAACAUUGGCAUAUACUGUAGUGUUUAAUUUCACACUAACAUUCUCACUUGGAGCAAAUAAGCUCUCACACAAUGUAACACUGUCCAUCAAUAAAAGGGUGAAACAAAUACUUUGUCCCACAAACAGCCCCUUCAACAGCCCUUUCUAAGGGAUCAAAACAGGGCGAUACAAAAUAAAAUUACAAAGUGCACAUGUAAGGUAAACUAGGACUCAGCCUAUAGUGCAGUUAAACCAUGGCUUAAUACUUUUUUCAAGUUUGCUUUGAACAUAGCAGUUUAUUCACCAGAGGCUCAACCCAGCCUCUUAUUUCAGAAAGAAUGAACAGUAACAGUUNNNNNNNNNNNNNNNNNNNNCUGGCCUGGUGCCACAAUGUUGAUCUAGAGUGAAAUUCUAGUUUGAAAACUGUCCGGAUUCUUUCUGCUGUUUCUGUGUUUGAUAGGGUGGCCAUUUCUUUCACAUCAAAAAGGAGGACACUUUGCAUACAUGGGGACACACAAGCAGAUAUUUGUUUGGUAUGAUCCGGUUUUAAAUUUUAAUGUUUUUCCACCAGAUUACAUAAAGGUGCAUACACAUACCACAUAGCUAAUAAUAAAUAUACAAGAUACAGCUCAUGACAACGUGCCCUUCCAAUUCAGAUUACAUAGGUCUAAUAAACAUCAUACAGAAACUGUUCUCGAUGUUUUAUCUGGAUAGAUAAAAGGGGAAAACAAAUACAGCACCUUGAGUAUAAGCAUUUUCAUAAUUUCAGUCCAACAACCGACGUUAGCUCACCUUACGUUCUCUGUCGCUGAGAGCUUGAUUGAC